AGGAUUUAAUUCAGAGGUAAAGCAGAAGAAAUACUAAGGUGAUCGCCGGUCACUAGGCCUAAGCUGCACUAACAGACUCAGACUUUUGAUAAAGUUGAGGCAGGGACCCAUUCUGUAUACUAAUAAAAUGAAUUUAGUAGGGUAGGAAGCACAGUACCAUACUAUGUCAGUAUGCUAGCCAUACAAAAGGGAGAAUAAAUGUAUCUUAGCCAU